GGUUAGCUCAGUCGGUAGAGCACUUGCUCUAUAAACGAGAGGUCCCAGGUUCGAGCCCUGGAUUAACCA